rnacentral:rRNA from 1 species
GAUGAACGCUGGCGGCGUGCCUAAUACAUGCAAGUCGAGCGAACAGACGAGGAGCUUGCUCCUCUGACGUUAGCGGCGGACGGGUGAGUAACACGUGGAUAACCUACCUAUAAGACUGGGAUAACUUCGGGAAACCGGAGCUAAUACCGGAUAAUAUAUUGAACCGCAUGGUUCUAUAGUGAAAGACGGUUUUGCUGUCACUUAUAGAUGGAUCCGCGUCGCAUUAGCUAGUUGGUAAGGUAACGGCUUACCAAGGCAACGAUGCGUAGCUGACCUGAGAGGAUGAUCAGCCACACUGGAACUGAGACACGGUCCAGACUCCUACGGGAGGCAGCAGUAGGGAAUCUUCCGCAAUGGGCGAAAGCCUGACGGAGCAACGCCGCGUGAGUGAUGAAGGUCUUCGGAUCGUAAAGCUCUGUUAGUAGGGAAGAACAAAUGUGUAAGUAACUAUGCACGUCUUGACGGUACCUAAACAGAAAGCCACGGCUAACUACGUG